rnacentral:rRNA from 1 species
UACGGACGGGGCAAGCGUUGUUCGGAAUCAUUGGGCGUAAAGGGCGCGUAGGUGGUUCUGUAUGUCUACCGUGAAAGCGUACGGCUCAACCGUAUUUUGUCGGUGGAAACUGCAGGACUUGAGGCUGGGAGGGGCUGGUGGAAUUCCCUGUGUAGCGGUGAAGUGCGUAGAGAUGGGGGAGAACACUCGUGGCGAAGGCGGCCAGCUAGACCAGUUCUGACACUGAGGCGCGACAGCGUGGGGAGCAAACAGG